rnacentral:tRNA from 1 species
GCCCAUGUAGCUCAGGGGUAGAGCACUCCCUUGGUAAGGGAGAGGUCGGCAGUUCAAAUCUGCCCGUGGGCACCA